CAAAUACAGUACACUGCAGUACAAAAGAUGUGUACACUUCUGAAAUAACUUUCCUUGCAUUACAUCCUUGAGUAUUUCGUCGAUUGCAGUUUGAAAAUAGAAUCCUUUCUUUAAUACUUCCUUGUCCCUUUAUACAUUCUUAAAUAUUUUAAUUUCACAACCCGAAAAAUGAAAUAGAAAAAAAUGAUAAAACAUACAUUUAAGGGGAAAAAUAGGUUCCAAAAUUAAGACUCCCUGACUUUAAGCCAGUGAGGCCUCUUGAGUCUUGACCCAAUACUGGGACAUGACCUAGUAAGUAAGUAAGAAAGACUUUAAGCCAGGAACUUUAGUUUACCGUGAUGGUGUUCGACAAGGUCAUAUGAGCUAAGAAAUCUAUUGUCCUGUCUGUAUAGUCCUUGGUUAAACCCUUCUAGAACUGUCAUCAUUUAUAUAGUUAAAUGUUUUGUAGACAUAUAUGUAUAAAAAAUAUAUUAUUUAUGUAAUCAUUAUACAUUCAUGGAAUAAAUGUUUGUAAAUAUCGUU